rnacentral:rRNA from 1 species
UACGUAGGUGGCAAGCGUUGUCCGGAUUUACUGGGCGUAAAGAGCGCGCAGGCGGUCGUACAAGUCGCGUGUGAAAGCCCCCGGCUCAACUGGGGAGGGUCACGCGAUACUGUUCGACUCGAAGGCAGGAGAGGGAAGCGGAAUUCCCGGUGUAGUGGUGAAAUGCGUAGAUAUCGGGAGGAACACCAGUGGCGAAGACGGCUUCCUGGCCUGUUCUUGACGCUGAGGCGCGAAAGCUAGGGUAGCAAACGGG